AUUGAACGCUGGCGGAAUGCUUUACACAUGCAAGUCGAACGGCAGCACGGGGGCAACCCUGGUGGCGAGUGGCGAACGGGUGAGUAAUACAUCGGAACGUGCCCAGUCGUGGGGGGUAACGUAGCGAAAGUUACGCUAAUACCGCAUACGAUCUACGGAUGAAAGCGGGGGACCGUAAGGCCUCGCGCGAUUGGAGCGGCCGAUGUCAGAUUAGGUAGUUGGUGAGGUAAAGGCUCACCAAGCCGACGAUCUGUAGCUGGUCUGAGAGGACGACCGGCCACACGGGGACUGAAAAACGGCCCAGACUCCGACGGGAGGCAUCGGUGGGGAAUUUUGGACAAUGGGCGCAAGCCUGAUCCAGCCAUUCCGCGUGCAGGACGAAGGCCUUCGGGUUGUAAACUGCUUUUGUACAGAACGAAAAGGUUUCUACUAAUACUAGGAGCUCAUGACGGUACUGUAAGAAUAAGCACCGGCUAACUACGUGCCAGCCGCCGCCGUAA
rnacentral:rRNA from 1 species